rnacentral:rRNA from 1 species
AAAUUGAAGAGUUUGAUCAUGGCUCAGAUUGAACGCUGGCGGCAGGCCUAACACAUGCAAGUCGAACGGUAACAGGAAACAGCUUGCUGUUUCGCUGACGAGUGGCGGACGGGUGAGUAAUGUCUGGGAAACUGCCUGAUGGAGGGGGAUAACUACUGGAAACGGUAGCUAAUACCGCAUAACGUCGCAAGACCAAAGAGGGGGACCUUAGGGCCUCUUGCCAUCGGAUGUGCCCAGAUGGGAUUAGCUAGUAGGUGGGGUAAAGGCUCACCUAGGCGACGAUCCCUAGCUGGUCUGAGAGGAUGACCAGCCACACUGGAACUGAGACACGGUCCAGACUCCUACGGGAGGCAGCAGUGGGGAAUAUUGCACAAUGGGCGCAAGCCUGAUGCAGCCAUGCCGCGUGUAUGAAGAAGGCCUUCGGGUUGUAAAGUACUUUCAGCGGGGAGGAAGGGAGUAAAGUUAAUACCUUUGCUCAUUGACGUUACCCGCAGAAGAAGCACCGGCUAACUCCGUGCCAGCAGCCGCGGUAAUACGGAGGGUGCAAGCGUUAAUCGGAAUUACUGGGCGUAAAGCGCACGCAGGCGGUUUGUUAAGUCAGAUGUGAAAUCCCCGGGCUCAAC